rnacentral:tRNA from 1 species
AGGGGUCUGGUGUAACGGUAGCAUGAAAGUCUCCAAAACUUUUGGUGAGAGUUCAAAUCUUUCGGCCCCUGCCA